GCACUACUGAAGAGUUCCAUACUAGAACGAAACAACCGUCCAGUGC
rnacentral:hammerhead_ribozyme from 1 species